CCUAAUCUCACAGACCCUUCAGCAGGACUCCAGGGCAGGUUCCAGCGCUGCACCUGAAGGAACUCCCUACAGAAGCCUACAGAGCAUAAUAUGUCAUUGUAUAUGUAGAAGCACCACAACUGAUUCCACUAGUUUCUUCCCCAGAGACAUUUGAAUUGUGGCCUCUAAAGAGCAGUAUUACCAGUAAAUAAGCAGCAUUUCCUGGCUUGAAAAAGGAGAG